GAUGAACGCUGGCGGCGUGCCUAAUACAUGCAAGUCGAACGCUGGAGAUCUAGCUUGCUAGAUCGAAGGAGUGGCGAACGGGUGAGUAAUACAUAAGCAACCUACCCACGAAGACUGGGAUAAUCUCUGGAAACUGGGACUAAUACCGGAUAGGUAAUCGGAAGGCAUCUUCUGGUUAUUAAAGGUUAAAAACACUGGUGGAUGGGCUUAUGGCGCAUUAGUUAGUUGGUGAGGUAACGGCCCACCAAGACGAUGAUGCGUAGCCGGCCUGAGAGGGUGAACGGCCACAUUGGGACUGAGACACGGCCCAGACUCCUACGGGAGGCAGCAGUAGGGAAUUUUCGGCAAUGGGGGCAACCCUGACCGAGCAACGCCGCGUGAGUGAAGACGGCCUUCGGGUUGUAAAGCUCUGUUGUAAGGGAAGAACGGUAGAUAGAGAAUAUCUAAGUGACGGUACCUUACCAGAAAGCCACGGCUAACUACGUG
rnacentral:rRNA from 1 species